CACGAAGCCGGAAUCGCUAGUAAUCGCAGAUCAGCAUGCUGCGGUGAAUACGUUCCCGGGUCUUGUACACACCGCCCGUCACACCAUGGGAGCCGGGAAUGCCCGAAGUCAGCGGCCCAACCGAAAGGAGGGGAGCUGCCGAAGGCAGGCCUGGUGACUGGGGUGAAGUCGUAACAAGGUAUC
rnacentral:rRNA from 1 species